GACGAACGCUGGCGGCGUGCUUAACACAUGCAAGUCGAACGGAAAGGCCCAGCUUGCUGGGUACUCGAGUGGCGAACGGGUGAGUAACACGUGGGUGAUCUGCCCUGCACUCUGGGAUAAGCCUGGGAAACUGGGUCUAAUACCGGAUAUGACCGACUGUCGCAUGGUGGUUGGUGGAAAGCUUUUGCGGUGUGGGAUGGGCCCGCGGCCUAUCAGCUUGUUGGUGGGGUAAUGGCCUACCAAGGCGACGACGGGUAGCCGACCUGAGAGGGUGAUCGGCCACACUGGGACUGAGACACGGCCCAGACUCCUACGGGAGGCAGCAGUGGGGAAUAUUGCACAAUGGGCGCAAGCCUGAUGCAGCGACGCCGCGUGAGGGAUGACGGCCUUCGGGUUGUAAACCUCUUUCACCAGGGACGAAGCGUGAGUGACGGUACCUGGAGAAGAAGCACCGGCCAACUACGUGC
rnacentral:rRNA from 1 species